GGGAAUGUGGCUUAGUGGUAGAGUGCAUGCCUAGCAUGCAUGAAGCCCUAGGUUCGAUUCCUCAGUACCA
rnacentral:tRNA from 1 species